rnacentral:lncRNA from 1 species
AGUGGAGAAACUCAACCGCGACACCGGCGCCCUCCUUGCCGCCCUCCCCGCCUCCAGGGCGCUCGGACACUCUUUUGCAAACCCCGGGACUUUCCCGACCUGAAAGGCAGGGCGGGAGGGGCGUCCCCCAGAACCUGGGGACAGAGGCAAAGUCCAAGAACUACAACGGCUGCUGCCGGCCGGGCCCGCUCCCUGGCCUACCUUGCACAAGAAGUCGACAUCGUAGAAGGCGGACAGAAGUGUGGUCGACAUGUUUCUGGAUCCCGCAGUGGCCGGAGCGGCAGGCCGGGAGCCAUCCCAGCAGGAUGGGCAGUCCAGGGGCCAACUGGUCCCACUGCUGGAGCAGAUCACACAGGACGGCCAGGGCCAGGGCCAGAGCGAUGGAGGCAUCCACCUGGCAGAAGGCAAACUCUGCAAAGACAGGAGAAAGUGUCACCAGAAGGAUCAGGAAGGCUUCCCUGUCCAGUGUCUCCUCUGCACAUCUGCCUGGAUUUGACUGGUUUGCCCUUUCCUUGGAAAGCAGAUCUCUUGGGCACAAGACACAUCCUAGAGCAGGGCAUCGGCAAGCUUUUCCUUAAAGGGCCAGAGAGUCAAUAUUUUAGACUUUGCAAGCCUAUACCUCCUCACCUCGGCUGAAAGCAGCCAUGGACAAUCUGUAAACAAAUGGUUGUGGCUGUGUUCCAAUAAAACUUUAUUUAUGGACACUGAAAUUUGAAUUUAAUGUGUCACAAAAUAUUAUUUUUUCCCAACCAAUUAAAAAUGUAAAAACCAUUGAUAGCUCAUGGGCUGUAAAAAGCAGGUGGUAGGCUGCAUUUGGCUCCUAUUUUGCUGCCCUCUGUCUCGGAGUUUUUUGUUUUUGGACCCUUGUUUUCCUGGGUGCUUGGAGGAAGGGCACUGAAAGAAUAGAAGGGUGCAGAAAGAGGAAGCAGGGGGCCUUGGGGAAACCAUUGCUUAUUUCAACAUUUGGCCUUAGACAAUCCUAAAUAUGGGUUUGGAGGGAGGCUCAGGGGUGUUGUCACUUCCCCUAACAACUCUGCCCCUCCCAUCCCAAACCUGGAGGGUGUCUGAAACACGGGACUGAAAGCCCACUGCACAAUGGACCUCUGUAGGCCCAUCUUGCACCAACUGACAUUGAAAGGCCUGUCUUUCAAUGAUGCAUUUCUAUUGAGCCCUGAUCACUCCCAAAUCCACAUCUCUAACUUGAGCACACAGACUUACCCUGACCAUCUGGCCCCCGAAAGACUUACUCGGCACACAGGCAGACGACCGAGAAUCUGCAACAGCAGGCUUAGUUCCCGUGGGUGUUGAACCAGGCUUACUGGGAUGGCCCCACUGAGGGCCUAGUGAGUGCCAGGCCCUGAUCAAAUGCUGUCUCCCCAGUCCUUCUAGCAUCCUAUGGGUUGGGUAUUAUGUAACCCACUUGCACACAUCAAGAAAUUACAGUUGGCAACAAGUUUCAUGGUGCAUGCAAAGCGCAGAUUUGGAGACCCAGCAUCAACAAUCCAGAGGUUUUGAUGGUGGGGUCAGCAGGGGUAGUGACCCUGCAGUAGGGCCAGGACUAUUCAGAGGUCACACAGCAGCACCUAGUUGCAUGUAAGCAGGUGAAAGUACUGAUCUCACCAUCUUGAGAGCUCCAGAUAAGUCCCCCAGGACACUUGCCCUUUAGUGUCCCCGUUCCCCAUGCUGCUUGCUCUGCAGCCUAGAACCCAG